rnacentral:rRNA from 1 species
UACGUAGGGUGCGAGCGUUAAUCGGAAUUACUGGGCGUAAAGCGUGCGCAGGCGGUUCUGCAAGUCAGAUGUGAAAUCCCCGGGCUUAACCUGGGAACUGCGUUUGAAACUACGGAGCUAGAGUGCGGCAGAGGGGGGUGGAAUUCCACGUGUAGCAGUGAAAUGCGUAGAGAUGUGGAGGAACACCGAUGGCGAAGGCAGCCCCCUGGGAUAACACUGACGCUCGGGCACGAAAGCGUGGGGAGCAAACAGG